UACGGAGGGUGCAAGCGUUAUCCGGAUUCACUGGGGUUAAAGGGUGCGUAGGUGGGCAGGUAAGUCAGGGGUGAAAUCUCCGGGCUUAACUCGGAAACUGCCAUUGAUACUAUCUGUCUUGAAUACCGUGGAGGUCAGCGGAAUAUGUCAUGUAGCGGUGAAAUGCUUAGAUAUGACAUAGAACACCAAUUGCGAAGGCAGCUGGCUACACGAAUAUUGACACUGAUGCACGAAAGCGUGGGGAUCAAACAGG
rnacentral:rRNA from 1 species